AGAGUUUGAUCCUGGCUCAGGAUGAACGCUGGCGGCGUGCCUAACACAUGCAAGUCGAACGGAAUUUACAUGAAGCCUAGCGAUUGUAAAUUUAGUGGCGGACGGGUGAGUAACGCGUGGGUAACCUGCCUUGUACUGGGGGACAACAGUUGGAAACGACUGCUAAUACCGCAUAAGCGCACAGCUUCGCAUGAAGCAGUGUGAAAAACUCCGGUGGUACAAGAUGGACCCGCGUCUGAUUAGCUGGUUGGUGAGGUAACGGCCCACCAAGGCGACGAUCAGUAGCCGACCUGAGAGGGUGACCGGCCACAUUGGGACUGAGACACGGCCCAAACUCCUACGGGAGGCAGCAGUGGGGAAUAUUGCACAAUGGGGGAAACCCUGAUGCAGCAACGCCGCGUGAGUGAAGAAGUAUUUCGGUAUGUAAAGCUCUAUCAGCAGGGAAGAAAAUGACGGUACCUGACUAAGAAGCCCCGGCUAACUACGUGCCAGCAGCCGCGGUAAUACGUAGGGGGCAAGCGUUAUCCGGAUUUACUGGGUGUAAAGGGAGCGUAGACGGUUUUGCAAGUCUGAAGUGAAAGCCCGGGGCUUAACCCCGGGACUGCUUUGGAAACUGUAGGACUAGAGUGCAGGAGAGGUAAGUGGAAUUCCUAGUGUAGCGGUGAAAUGCGUAGAUAUUAGGAGGAACACCAGUGGCGAAGGCGGCUUGCUGGGCUUUUACUGACGCUGAGGCUCGAAAGCGUGGGGAGCAAACAGGAUUAGAUACCCUGGUAGUCCACGCCGUAAACGAUGAUUACUAGGUGUGGGGGGAUUGACCCCUUCCGUGCCGGAGUAAACACAAUAAGUAAUCCACCUGGGGAGUACGACCGCAAGGUUGAAACUCAA
rnacentral:rRNA from 1 species